rnacentral:rRNA from 1 species
GAUGAACGCUGGCGGCGUGCCUAAUACAUGCAAGUCGAGCGAACAGACGAGGAGCUUGCUCCUCUGACGUUAGCGGCGGACGGGUGAGUAACACGUGGAUAACCUCCCUAUAAGACUGGGAUAACUUCGGGAAACCGGAGCUAAUACCGGAUAAUAUCUUGAACCGCAUGGUUCAAUAGUGAAUGACGGUUUUGCUGGCACUUAUAGAUGGAUCCGCGCCGCAUUAGCUAGUUGGUACGGUAACGGCUUACCAAGGCAACGAUGCGUAGCCGACCUGAGAGGGGGAUCGGCCACACUGGAACUGAGACACGGUCCAGACUCCUACGGGAGGCAGCAGUAGGGAAUCUUCCGCAAUGGGCGAAAGCCUGACGGAGCAACGCCGCGUGAGUGAUGAAGGUCUUCGGAUCGUAAAACUCUGUUAUUAGGGAAGAACAAAUGUGUAAGUAACUAUGCACGUCUUGACGGUACCUAAUCAGAAAGCCACGGCUAACUACGUG